GAUGCAGCCAUGCCGCGUGUGUGAAGAAGGACCUUCGGGUUGUAAAGACACUUUCAGUAGGGAGGAAGGUAGUGUAGUUAACACCUGCACUAUUUGACGUUACCUACAGAAGAAGCACCGGCUAACUCCGUGCCAGCAGCCGCGGUAAUACGGAGGGUGCGAGCGUUAAUCGGAAUUACUGGGCGUAAAGCGCAUGCAGGCGGCCUGUUAAGUCAGAUGUGAAAGCCCGGGGCUUAACCUCGGAAGUUGCAUUUGAAACUGGCAGGCUAGAGUCUUGUAGAGGGGGGUAGGAAUUUCAGGUGUAGCGGUGAAAUGCGUAGAGAUCUGAAGGAAUACCAGUGGCGAAGGCGGCCCCCUGGACAAAGACUGACGCUCAGAUGCGAAAGCGUGGGGAGCAAACAGGAUUAGAUACCCUGGUAG
rnacentral:rRNA from 1 species